UAGGGAAUCUUCCGCAAUGGACGCAAGUCUGACGGAGCAACGCCGCGUGAGUGAAGAAGGAUUUCGGUUCGUAAAACUCUGUUGUUAGAGAAGAACAGCGCAUAGAGUAACUGUUAUGCGUGUGACGGUAUCUACCAGAAAGCCACGGCUAACUACGUGCCAGCAGCCGCGGUAAUACGUAGGUGGCAAGCGUUGUCCGGAUUUAUUGGGCGUAAAGCGAGCGCAGGCGGUCAAUUAAGUCUGAUGUGAAAGCCCCCGGCUCAACCGGGGAGGGUCAUUGGAAACUGUUGACUUGAGUGCAGAAGAGGAGAGUGGAAUUCCAUGUGUAGCGGUGAAAUGCGUAGAUAUAUGGAGGAACACCAGUGGCGAAGGCGACUCUCUGGUCUGUAACUGACGCUGAGGCUGGAAAGCGUGGGUAGCAAACAGG
rnacentral:rRNA from 1 species